rnacentral:rRNA from 1 species
AGCAGCCGCGGUAAUUCCAGCUCCAAUAGCGUAUAUUAAAGUUGUUGCAGUUAAAAAGCUCGUAGUUGAAUUUCGGGACCAAUUUGUUGGUCGUGCCUCGGUACGUACUGGUAUUAUUGGUUUCUCCCUUCUGAAGAACCUCGAUGCCAUUAAUUUGGUGUCGUGGGGAUUCAGGACUGUUACUUUGAAAAAAUUAGAGUGUUUAAAGCAAGCAUACGCUUGAAUACAUUAGCAUGGAAUAAUGAAAUAGGACGUUUGAUUCUAUUUUGUUGGUUUCUAGGAUCGACGUAAUGAUUAAUAGGGAUAGUUGGGGGCAUUAGUGUUCAAUUGUCAGAGGUGAAAUUCUUGGAUUUAUUGAAGACUAACUACUGCGAAAGCAUUUGCCAAGGAUGUUUUCAUUAAUCAAGAACGAAAGUUAGGGGAUCGAAGACGAUCAGAUACCGUCGUAGUCUUAACCAUAAACUAUGCCGACUAGGGAUCGGAUGAUGUUAAUUUUUAAUGACUCAUUCGGCGCCUUACG